GACGAACGCUGGCGGCGUGCUUAACACAUGCAAGUCGAACGGUAAGGCUCCGGCUUGCUGGGGUACACGAGUGGCGAACGGGUGAGUAACACGUGGGUGACCUGCCCUGCACUUCGGGAUAAGCCUGGGAAACUGGGUCUAAUACCGGAUAGGACCGCACCGUGAGGGUGUGGUGGAAAGUUUUUUCGGUGUGGGAUGGGCCCGCGGCCUAUCAGCUUGUUGGUGGGGUAAUGGCCUACCAAGGCGGCGACGGGUAGCCGGCCUGAGAGGGUGGACGGCCACAUUGGGACUGAGACACGGCCCAGACUCCUACGGGAGGCAGCAGUGGGGAAUAUUGCACAAUGGGCGGAAGCCUGAUGCAGCGACGCCGCGUGGGGGAUGACGGCCUUCGGGUUGUAAACUCCUUUCACCAUCGACGAAGGGUUUCUGACGGUAGAUGGAGAAGAAGCACCGGCUAACUACGUG
rnacentral:rRNA from 1 species